rnacentral:rRNA from 1 species
GAUGAACGCUGGCUACAGGCUUAACACAUGCAAGUCGAGGGGAAACGACGGGGAAGCUUGCUUCCCCGGGCGUCGACCGGCGCACGGGUGAGUAACGCGUAUCCAACCUGCCUCUGACUGAGGGAUAACCCGUCGAAAGUCGGCCUAAUACCUCAUGGCAUCGUCUGCGGGCAUCCAACGACGAUUAAAGAUUUCAUCGGUCAGGGAUGGGGAUGCGUCUGAUUAGCUAGUUGGCGGGGUAACGGCCCACCAAGGCGACGAUCAGUAGGGGUUCUGAGAGGAAGGUCCCCCACAUUGUAACUGAGGCACGGGCCACACUCGUACGGGAGGAGGCAGUGAGGAAGAUUGGUCAAUGGGCGAGAGCCUGAGCCAGCCAAGUAGCGUGCAGGAGGACGGCGCUAUGGGUUGUAAACUGCUUUUAUGCGGGGAGAAAUUGAGGGACGUGUCCUUCAUUGCAGGUACCGCAUGAAUAAGGACCGGCUAAUUCCGUU